rnacentral:rRNA from 1 species
GACGGGGCCCGCACAAGCGGAGGAGCAUGUGGUUUAAUUCGAUGAUACGCGAGGAACCUUACCUGGGCUCGAACGUAAGAUGACUGUAGGUGAAAGCUUACAUCUCUUCGGAGCAUUUUACGAGGUGCUGCAUGGUUGUCGUCAGCUCGUGCCGUGAGGUGUCGGGUUAAGUCCCAUAACGAGCGCAACCCUACCUUUAGUUGCCAUCAGGUAAUGCUGGGGACUCUAAAGGAACUGCCUACGCAAGUAGUGAGGAAGCGGGGAUGACGUCAAAUCAGCACGGCCCUUACGUCCAGGGCUACACACGUGCUACAAUGGCCGAUACAGAGGGCAGCUACCUGGUGACAGGAUGCAAAUCUCCAAAGUCGGUCUCAGUUCGGAUCGGAGUCUGCAACCCGACUCCGUGAAGUUGGAUUCGCUAGUAAUCGCGCAUCAGCCAUGGCGCGGUGAAUACGUUCCCGGGCCUU